rnacentral:lncRNA from 11 species
AUGCUUGAACCACAAGGUGGUCGCCAUUUCUGAUGUGGUGUUUCUCUUAUCUUCCCCUUUCCCCAUCCCUUGAACAGUUGAGAGCUGUGGGCUAUGGGAUGGAUGAAGCUGAGCAGGACCAGUAUGAAGCCCACCUCAAGGAACUCUUCGACAGCUUUGAUGUCACCGGGACCGGGACCCUCGGGCAGGAAGAGCUGAGAGAGCUUGGCCACGUGUUGCACCUGGAAGAAGUGGCCCCGGGAGCAUUGCAGCGGACCCUUCUGCAGGACGGCCUCCCAAGCCGGGUCCACUUUGACCAGUUCAAAGAUGCCCUCAUCCUCAUCCUGUCCAGCACACUAACCAACGAGGAGUCCUUCCAGCAACCAGGUAAGAUGACGCUUUUCUAUUCUGACCAUGACAAGGAGGCCAACAGGCCUACAUUGGACUGAGAACUGUUUUUAAGAUUGUUUUGGACACCAUGAUGGUUGUGAUGCCUAAGUUUGC